UGCCUUUAAGUGUUGCCCUUUCAAUGUUCCCGUCAUGAAAGGGGUGUCAAAUAAGGCGCACAUCGACUUCUUGUGGUUGUCUUUUGAGAAGUCAUCGCUGACUUGUCUGACAUGACGAACUGCAAGGACAUGU